CGGGUCAUUUACCGAUGUGGUUGUCCUCGAUGUGCUCGAUGAGGUCUGCCAGGGUGGGGAAGUGGAGUCCGCAGCCCCCGAAUCGGCAGAAGUCCUGCAGCAGAGGAAUCCUCCUUGGACACGCUAUGCAAUGUCUCAUCCAUGUUAACCACAAUCAAAUUUGCAUCUUAUCUUUCUUAUUCUAUACCCUGAUCCAAAAGACCCAUCAGAGGAAAAGGAUUCUAUGAAAGUUCAUCAACAGGAAAAUCUACAUCCUGAUGCAUAAGAGAUUCACAGUGCAUGUCUCUGCCUAUUAACACACCAAACCUCCAGCAGAAGAGUCUACAUGAAUUUGUUGAAUUCUGUCAUUUCCAAAUUUCCUUGAUCGUGGAAAUGUUUUUAAAAAGAAGAGUCAUUAUUAACAUCAUUAAUCAGCUAAAAAUCUGUUAUCCUUGGGAUUAGCUGUUGGAAACUGUGAAUUAUGUCAAUUAAAUACAUUCACUUGCCCA